rnacentral:rRNA from 1 species
UACGUAGGGUGCGAGCGUUGCCCGGAUUUAUUGGGCGUAGAGGGCGCGUAGGCGGCCACGCACGUCCGUUGUGAAAUCGCCCGGCUCAACUGGGCGGGGUCGGCGGAUACGGCGUGGCUGGAGCAAGCUAGGGGGCAAUGGAAUUCCCGGUGUAGUGGUGGAAUGCGUAGAUAUCGGGAGGAACACCAGUGGCGAAGGCGGUUGCCUGGAGCUUUGCUGACGCUGAGGCGCGAAAGCGUGGGGAGCGAUCCGG